rnacentral:lncRNA from 1 species
GAUAAAUAUGCUGCAGAUCCCAUGCUGCAAAUGCUUGGCAGACAUUUCAAUUCCUGCUGGAUGAGAAGGGGAUCUGUGUGUGUGUGUGUGUGUUUCUCUCUCUCUCUUUUCUUACUGGCAACAACAUCUCUGCUGCUGGCAGGAGUCACCAGAAUAAAAACAGCAACACCAGACUCAGAGGGGGAAAAAGCAAAGUGAUCCACUGAACAAGAGACGCUGCCCUCUAUGAUCACGCAGAGUGCCGUACCUUUCAUCUUUCCCCGCCGCUCUCAGUGAAGCGGUAAUUAGCUAGAGGAGAAUAAAAGCAGCCGAUGAGGAGAGGGGUGGUGCAUUUUGGAGUGAGAUGGCUAGCAGAAACACUCUGGUGCUCCUGUGUGGACUCUUCCUCUCAGCACUGAUCGUGCCCUCUCUUCAAGGAGGUGUGUACGUACCACCCGGGGCUGGACUUGGACCGGGAGGGACCGGACCAGGAACUGGAUUUUUCCCAGGGUCUGUUGGAGGAGGCUAUAAACCAGCUAAAGCUCCAGUUGGAGGCUAUGGACCUGGAGGUCAAGGUUUAGGCGGUGGUGGCUUGGUGCCAAGGGGUGUUGGGCCAGGAGGACUUGGUAUUGGAGGACUGCCGACAGGUGGAAAGGCCCCGAAGCCGGGUUAUGGAAAUCUAGGAGUUGGAGGACAUGGAGGAGGUGGUUAUGGAGGAUAUGGAGGAGGAACAGGGGGCUUUUUCCCCGGAGUUGGACAGAAAGCUGCCAAAAGAGCUCCUGUGAUUCCUCAGACAGGCCUUCCAGGAGGAGGAGGAGGAGGAGGUGGAGGAGGAGGAGGAGGUGGUGGAGGAAAGAAAGCUGCCAAAGUGCCAGGUGUGGGUGUUCCUGGACUCUAUCAAGGGGGAUUAAUGCAAGGACAAGGAUUUAAUGGUCGUGGAGUUUUGCCUGGGGUGCCCACUGGAACUGACCUCAAUCCCAAAUCUAGAGUCCAUGGACAGAUGCAGCCAGGAGUGUUUCAUGGCUACCCACUGAAAUCCCUUCAGCACAAGGUAGGAUGGGAUCUGACUCAAAUUUAGUAGCAAACAGUGGCUAGGCCAAGACUUAGAGCUGUGAAGCAGUGAAAUGGAAAAAGAUU